rnacentral:rRNA from 1 species
AUACGGGUAUUGCUUAGUACGGCGAGUGAGCGGCAAAAGCUCAAAUUUGAAAUCUGGUACCUUCGGUGCCCGAGUUGUAAUUUGGAGAGGGCAACUUUGGGGCCGUUCCUUGUCUAUGUUCCUUGGAACAGGACGUCAUAGAGGGUGAGAAUCCCGUGUGGCGAGGAGUGCGGUUCUUUGUAAAGUGCCUUCGAAGAGUCGAGUUGUUUGGGAAUGCAGCUCUAAGUGGGUGGUAAAUUCCAUCUAAAGCUAAAUAUUGGCGAGAGACCGAUAGCGAACAAGUACAGUGAUGGAAAGAUGAAAAGAACUUUGAAAAGAGAGUGAAAAAGUACGUGAAAUUGUUGAAAGGGAAGGGCAUUUGAUCAGACAUGGUGUUUUGUGCCCUCUGCUCCUUGUGGGUAGGGGAAUCUCGCAUUUCACUGGGCCAGCAUCAGUUUUGGUGGCAGGAUAAAUCCAUAGGAAUGUAGCUUGCCUCGGUAAGUAUUAUAGCCUGUGGGAAUACUGCCAGCUGGGACUGAGGACUGCGACGUAAGUCAAGGAUGCUGGCAUAAUGGUUAUAUGCCGCCCGUCUUGACCCCCCGGACCA